rnacentral:rRNA from 1 species
UACGUAGGGGUGCAAGCGUUAAUCGGAAUUACUGGGCGUAAAGCGUGCGCAGGCGGUUUUGUAAGUCUGUCGUGAAAUCCCCGGGCUCAACCUGGGAAUUGCGAUGGAGACUGCAAGGCUGGAAUCUGGCAGAGGGGGGUAGAAUUCCACGUGUAGCAGUGAAAUGCGUAGAGAUGUGGAGGAACACCGAUGGCGAAGGCAGCCCCCUGGGUCAAGAUUGACGCUCAUGCACGAAAGCGUGGGGAGCAAACAGG